rnacentral:rRNA from 1 species
GAUGAACGCUGGCGGCGUGCCUAAUACAUGCAAGUCGAGCGAAUGGAUUAAGAGCUUGCUCUUAUGAAGUUAGCGGCGGACGGGUGAGUAACACGUGGGUAACCUGCCCAUAAGACUGGGAUAACUCCGGGAAACCGGGGCUAAUACCGGAUAACAUUUUGAACCGCAUGGUUCGAAAUUGAAAGGCGGCUUCGGCUGUCACUUAUGGAUGGACCCGCGUCGCAUUAGCUAGUUGGUGAGGUAACGGCUCACCAAGGCAACGAUGCCUAGCCGACCUGAGAGGGUGAUCGGCCACACUGGGACUGAGACACGGCCCAGACUCCUACGGGAGGCAGCAGUAGGGAAUCUUCCUCAAUGGACGAAAGUCUGACAGAGCAACGCCGCGUGAGUGAUGAAGGCUUUCGGGUCGUAAAACUCUGUUGUUAGGGAAGAACAAGUGCUAGUUGAAUAAGCUGGCACCUUGACGGUACCUAACCAGAAAGCCACGGCUAACUACGUGCCAGCCGCCGCAGUAA